rnacentral:lncRNA from 13 species
CCCAGAUGUUUGUCCGUUGCUGUCAUUGUACCUGGAAGAGAGCCCGGACGGCUCUUCACAAGACCACCUCCAGGUAUCGAAGACAAGCGUACCCGGUUACAAUUGGUCAGCCCCUGUAGAUAUCUUGGUAUCUAUAGCAAGUAAGACAUCAAUGACAUUUUUUGGUGAAUUGCCGAAAUGCAAAAACUUGACUAACAUUUUCAGAGUCAAUCUCCAAAAUUCCAGAAUCAGUGUUUAAAUCAAAUCAAAUCAAAUUUAUUUUAUAUAGCCCUUCGUACAUCAGCUGAUAUCUCAAAGUGCUGUACAGAAACCCAGCCUAAAACCCCAAACAGCAAGCAAUGCAGGUGAAGAAGCACGGUGGCUAGGAAAAACUCCCUAGAAAGGCCAAAACCUAGGAAGAAACCUAGAGAGGAACCAGGCUAUGUGGGGUGGCCAGUCCUCUUCUGGCUGUGCCGGGUGGAGAUUAUAACAAAACAUGGUCAAGAUGUUCAAAUGUUCAUAAAUGACCAGCAUGGUCGAAUAAUAAUAAGGCAGAAUAGUUGAAACUGGAGCAGCAGCACAGUCAGGUGGACUGGGGACAGCAAGGAGUCAUCAUGUCAGGUAGUCCUGGGGCAUGGUCCUAGGGCUCAGGUCCUCCGAGAGAGAGAAAGAAAGAGAGAAUUAGAGAGAGCANNNNNNNNNNAUGCCAUCACUAUGCCAUCACCAUGCCAUCACUAUGCCAUCACCAUGCCAUCACCAUGCCAUCAUUCAUGUGUUGAACUGAGAGCAUUGUUUGGUGCCGAGAGAAAGAUGGUAGUUAUGCUGAGGAAAACCUAGUAGUUUAUUCACUACUACACUAUAUUCCAUUGUUAAGGAAUUUACAUUUCGUGACGCCAUUUCACAAAGAUCCCUGACAUGACAUGCAGUUAUAUUGAACUUGACUUUACACGUUUGGAAAAUGCAUAUUAGUCAUACAGCCUUAUUGGCCACAGCUAUGUGUCUUCAAAGCAUAGAUUUUCCCUUUUGGUGUUUUUUUUUAAGGAGCCCUUUCAUUGCACAUACUGUAAAGGUUGACAGGAAAUGAACCCAUUUCCAUGACAGUAACCAGUUGAAGAAGAAGCACAGUAACACAGUAAACAGUUAAACUGCUCCAGUGCUGUACAAUACACAAUGAAAAACAGUUGUCCUCAAUGUAACCUGAAACUAUUUAUUUCUGUUGGCAGUGAGCUAAGCUGGUAAAUGGUAAAUGGUAAACCCUCCUUCUGUACAGCCAUACUGUACGUACACUUCAGUGAAAGCAGCUCUUUUUGACAUCAGUCAUUCUACAUCAAUAUUAUCCUCCUUAAACUGCUAUGCUUAAACAUAAUGCAUUCUAGCGGAAAAAAAGGCGACAAGAUUAUAAAAUAUAAUUUCAUAUUAAUUCACAAAUAAAACAUAGGCAUGGGGACGAUAUUGCUGUACCUGUAACGAUUCAUAAUUAACCAAAUAUAAAGCAUCUCUUUUCUAUAGUUUAUUUUUCUUACAGGGUUUAAAAAAUAUCUACAACUUAAUAGCUUUUUCCUUUCACUAAAACAACAUGGCUUCUAGUGUCUGUACCUGUACAUGUGUCUAUCGAUCGGAACCCUGUCAUCCCUGAAGAUUGAUUGGUUGGGCAGGAAUGAGUGUGUGAUAUUUGAGUACACUGUUUUCUUGUGUUGGUUGUUCACAGUUUCAAAAAGUGGUCUGUAAAAAGUGGUCUACACCUAUGACUCACUAUUCUCAGUAUCUCUGUGCAGAGGGUAAGGCAAAUGGGAGGCAGGGGGGAUAUGCCUGAGGAUUGGAACGUGAUGUCACUGAUAUGUGAUUUCUGUAUGAAGUCAUUGAGGCGGUGACACUAAUCCUACUCAUCCUGAGUGCACUGCAAACCUAGCAUUACUGCAUCCCCUAAGGGACAACCCCUACCUAUAUCUCUCGGUUCACUGGGUGUUGCCAGACAGAGAGAAAGAAAGUUGGGUGAAACUCCUCUGUAGUUGGAUCCUUAGCAUGUCCCUCCAUCCCUC